rnacentral:rRNA from 1 species
UACGUAGGGUGCGAGCGUUUAAUCGGAAUUACUGGGCGUAAAGCGUGCGCAGGCGGUUCGUUGUGUCGGCGGUGAAAGCCCCGGGCUCAACCUGGGAAUGGCCGUUGAAACUGGCGAACUGGAGUGUGGCAGAGGGGGGUGGAAUUCCGCGUGUAGCAGUGAAAUGCGUAGAGAUGCGGAGGAACACCGAUGGCGAAGGCAGCCCCCUGGGCUGACACUGACGCUCAGGCACGAAAGCGUGGGGAGCAAACAGGAUUAGAUACCUACUAGUCA